rnacentral:rRNA from 1 species
CUACGGGGGGCACCAGUGGGGAAUAUUGGACAAUGGGGGAAACCCUGAUCCAGCAAUGCCGCGUGUGUGAAGAAGGCCUGCGGGUUGUAAAGCACUUUCGGUUGGGAGGACUGCUUCUAGCACUAAUAUUGUUGGAAGUUGACGUUACCUUCAGAAGAAGCACCGGCUAACUCCGUGCCAGCAGCCGCGGUAAUACGGAGGGUGCAAGCGUUAAUCGGAAUUACUGGGCGUAAAGCGCGCGUAGGCGGCUAGAUCAGUCGGGUGUGAAAGCCCCGGGCUUAACCUGGGAACUGCAUCCGAUACUGUCUAGCUUGAGUACAGGGGAGGAGAGUGGAAUUCCACAUGUAGCGGUGAAAUGCGUAGAUAUGUGGAGGAACACCAAUGGCGAAGGCAGCUCUCUGGCCUGAUACUGACGCUGAGGUGCGAAAUCGUGGGGAGCAAACAGGAUUAGAUACCCGUGUAGUC